rnacentral:rRNA from 1 species
CAGCCCUUGACAUCCCGGUCGCGGUUUCCAGAGAUGGAUUCCUUCAGUUCGGCUGGACCGGUGACAGGUGCUGCAUGGCUGUCGUCAGCUCGUGUCGUGAGAUGUUGGGUUAAGUCCCGCAACGAGCGCAACCCUCGCCCUUAGUUGCCAGCAUUAAGUUGGGCACUCUAAGGGGACUGCCGGUGAUAAGCCGAGAGGAAGGUGGGGAUGACGUCAAGUCCUCAUGGCCCUUACGGGCUGGGCUACACACGUGCUACAAUGGUGGUGACAGUGGGCAGCGAGACCGCGAGGUCGAGCUAAUCUCCAAAAGCCAUCUCAGUUCGGAUUGCACUCUGCAACUCGAGUGCAUGAAGUUGGAAUCGCUAGUAAUCGCGGAUCAGCAUGCCGCGGUGAAUACGUUCCC